rnacentral:rRNA from 1 species
GGACGAACGCUGGCGGCGUGCUUAACACAUGCAAGUCGAACGGAAAGGCCCUGCUUUUGUGGGGUGCUCGAGUGGCGAACGGGUGAGUAACACGUGAGUAACCUGCCCUUGACUUUGGGAUAACUUCAGGAAACUGGGGCUAAUACCGGAUAGGAGCUCCUGCUGCAUGGUGGGGGUUGGAAAGUUUCGGCGGUUGGGGAUGGAUUCGCGGCUUAUCAGCUUGUUGGUGGGGUAGUGGCUUACCAAGGCUUUGACGGGUAGCCGGCCUGAGAGGGUGACCGGCCACAUUGGGACUGAGAUACGGCCCAGACUCCUACGGGAGGCAGCAGUGGGGAAUAUUGCACAAUGGGCGGAAGCCUGAUGCAGCAACGCCGCGUGCGGGAUGACGGCCUUCGGGUUGUAAACCGCUUUCGCCUGUGACGAAGCGUGAGUGACGGUAAUGGGUAAAGAAGCACCGGCUAACUACGUG